UUUUCUUUAUUAAUAACUAAAAGGAAUUAUUUGAUAGAUAUUUUUUUCUCAAAAUUCUACAGAGAAGAUAAUUGUAAUAGGUUAUAUGACACCCUUGUUCGGAAACUCGCUAGGUGAUACGCGUGUAGCACACACGGGCCUAGCGAUUUUUUGAAAAAGCGAAAAAAUGGAGUUAUACUCGGAGCGGAAUUUUUUAUAUUUUAGUAUGUAUAAUAUCAAAUUUUAAAUAAAUAUAAUACAAUUUUUGUGUAUAAUACAUGUUUAUGAAAGAUAUUUGAUAAUUUGAUACUAAAAUUCAAAGUAAACGCGUAUAUAUAAAGUAAAUUUGCAUUUAAUAACAAUUGGUUUAGCCUCGUCUGGUGGUUUGUGUCUUCCGUGUAGCUCCUGCAUGUGACAGGUUCAAAUUGCGGCAACUGCCCUUUUGGCAUUUUAUUAUUUUUAGGUUUAAUGAAAGUAAAAUUACCAAUUCACCCUCGUCUUCAACUUUCUUCUGCGAUUUUCCAGAUCUAACACGCAGCCGCCUUCAAGUUUUCCACGAUUUCACCAUUUUAAGAAGCUAUUCUUGUCGGAUUCAACUUAGUAUAGAAUAUCUAUAAGGUAUAAUCUGAUUUCUUCCUAAAAACUUUGAUAUUUUCAUACUUAUCAGAUUUGGACAAAUCGUUUUUACAAAAUUAUGCGGCAACUGCCCUUUUGGCAUUUUAUUAUUUUUAGGUUUAAUGAAAGUAAAAUUACCAAUUCACCCUCGUCUUCAACUUUCUUCUGCGAUUUUCCAGAUCUAACACGCAGCCGCCUUCAAGUUUUCCACGAUUUCACCAUUUUAAGAAGCUAUUCUUGUCGGAUUCAACUUAGUAUAGAAUAUCUAUAAGCUAACGCGUUCACUAUACGGCUCAGCGCCUAGACAUACCGAUCACCUCCAUUUCGCCACGGUGACCUUCCGAUGUACGUUUAAUUGGACGAGUAAUCAGCAACUCGGCUGAGUUUUAGAACAAGCAAACAUUUACAAACUCAUGUUGACUCUGUAAACCAAAUCGGUAACUCCGCAUCCAUGUGAACGACGAAGGACGGUUGUUUCCUAGCACUGCGUCCUAAGCUAUCCGCCCGUAGGUUCUCCGUCCGGGGUACAUGAAUGAUGUCUGAGUUGAGGAAACUUCUUUUUAAGAGCUUAAUUAGAUCUCGAUCCGCGCAACCGCGCAGGUUUUUGUUUUUAUUUAUUUUUAUAUAAAUAUUUUGUUUUCAAUUC